ACAAUGCAAGUCGUACGAUGAUAGCCCAGCUUGCUGGGUGGAUUAGUGGCGAACGGGUGAGUAACACGUGAGUAACCUGCCCUUAACUCUGGGAUAAGCCUGGGAAACUGGGUCUAAUACCGGAUAGGAGCGUCCACCGCAUGGUGGGUGUUGGAAAGAUUUAUCGGUUUUGGAUGGACUCGCGGCCUAUCAGCUUGUUGGUGAGGUAAUGGCUCACCAAGGCGACGACGGGUAGCCGGCCUGAGAGGGUGACCGGCCACACUGGGACUGAGACACGGCCCAGACUCCUACGGGAGGCAGCAGUGGGGAAUAUUGCACAAUGGGCGAAAGCCUGAUGCAGCGACGCCGCGUGAGGGAUGACGGCCUUCGGGUUGUAAACCUCUUUCAGUAGGGAAGAAGCGAAAGUGACGGUACCUGCAGAAGAAGCACCGGCUAACUACGUGCCAGCAGCCGCGGUAAUACGUAGGGUGCGAGCGUUAUCCGGAAUUAUUGGGCGUAAAGAGCUCGUAGGCGGUUUGUCGCGUCUGUCGUGAAAGUCCGGGGCUUAACCCCGGAUCUGCGGUGGGUACGGGCAGACUAGAGUGCAGUAGGGGAGACUGGAAUUCCUGGUGUAGCGGUGGAAUGCGCAGAUAUCAGGAGGAACACCGAUGGCGAAGGCAGGUCUCUGGGCUGUAACUGACGCUGAGGAGCGAAAGCAUGGGGAGCGAACAGGAUUAGAUACCCUGGUAGUCCAUGCCGUAAACGUUGGGCACUAGGUGUGGGGACCAUUCCACGGUUUCCGCGCCGCAGCUAACGCAUUAAGUGCCCCGCCUGGGGAGUACGGCCGCAAGGCUAAAACUCAAAGGAAUUGACGGGGGCCCGCACAAGCGGCGGAGCAUGCGGAUUAUUUCGAUGCAACGCGAGACCUUACCAAGGCUUUGACAUGUUCUCGAUCGCCUGUAGAGAUACGGUUUCCCUCUUUGGGGCGGGUUCACAGGUGGUUGCAUGGGUUGUCGUCCAGCUCGUGUUCGUGGAGUAUGUUGGGU
rnacentral:rRNA from 1 species